UGUUAGCAGCGUUUAUUUUGCAAACGUGGAUUUGUGAAACGUUGAAAUUUACUUAAUGCAACUCAAAUUAAUCAAGUCAUAUUAGUAAUUGAAGAACACAUAACCAGAACAUCUUAAUUCAGGUGUUCUGCUAAAUAUGAGUAAGAAACUACACCAUCAACCAGACAAGUUCAGCCCUGCAUCAGCAAUCCAACAGAUAUGACCAGGACACCUGACCACCAUCACCCUGAGUGGGACGGUAUGGUGGCUAAGUGGUUGGCACUCUCGCCUCACGGCAAGAAGGUCCUGGGUUCGAUCCCCAGGUGAAGAGCCCGGGUCCUUUCUGUGUGGAGUUUGCAUGUCUUUCCCGUGUCCACGUGGGUUUCCUCCGGGUGCUCCGGUUUCCUCCCACAGUCCAAAGACUAAAGUGUAAAAUGUGACGUUAAAAUCCUAAU